rnacentral:rRNA from 1 species
GACGAACGCUGGCGGCGUGCUUAACACAUGCAAGUCGAACGGAAAGGCCCUGCUUUUGUGGGGUGCUCGAGUGGCGAACGGGUGAGUAACACGUGAGUAACCUGCCCUUGACUUUGGGAUAACUUCAGGAAACUGGGGCUAAUACCGGAUAGGAGCUCCUGCUGCAUGGUGGGGGUUGGAAAGUUUCGGCGGUUGGGGAUGGACUCGCGGCUUAUCAGCUUGUUGGUGGGGUAGUGGCUUACCAAGGCUUUGACGGGUAGCCGGCCUGAGAGGGUGACCGGCCACAUUGGGACUGAGAUACGGCCCAGACUCCUACGGGAGGCAGCAGUGGGGAAUAGUGCACAAGGGGCGGAGGCCUGAUGCAGCAACGCCGCGUGCGGGAUGACGGCCUUCGGGUUGUAAACCGCUGUCGCCUGUGACGAAGCGUGAGUGACGGUAAUGGGUAAAGAAGCACCGGCUAACUACGUG